rnacentral:rRNA from 1 species
UACGAAGGGGGCUAGCGUUGUUCGGAAUUACUGGGCGUAAAGGGCGCGUAGGCGGCCCGAUCAGUCAGAAGUGAAAGCCCCGGGCUCAACCUGGGAACCGCUUUUGAUACUGUCGAGCUUGAGUUCCGGAGAGGAUGGUGGAAUUCCCAGUGUAGAGGUGAAAUUCGUAGAUAUUGGGAAGAACACCGGUGGCGAAGGCGGCCAUCUGGACGGACACUGACGCUGAGGCGCGAAAGCGUGGGGAGCAAACAGG